GAACGCCCGGGCUUCGGCCUGGUUAUUCUAACCCUUUGUUGUCCGACUCUGUUGCCUCCUGGGCGACCCUGCCUUCCGGCGGGGGCUCCGGGUGGACACUUCAAACUCUUGCGUAACUUUGCAGUCUGAGUAAACUUAAUUAAUAAAUUAAAACUUUUAACAACGGAUCUCUUGGUUCUGGCAUCGAUGAAGAACGCAGCGAAAUGCGAUAAGUAAUGUGAAUUGCAGAAUUCAGUGAAUCAUCGAAUCUUUGAACGCACAUUGCGCCCCCUGGUAUUCCGGGGGGCAUGCCUGUUCGAGCGUCAUUUCACCACUCAAGCCUCGCUUGGUAUUGGGCAACGCGGUCCGCCGCGUGCCUCAAAUCGUCCGGCUGGGUCUUCUGUCCCCUAAGCGUUGUGGAAACUAUUCGCUAAAGGGUGUUCGGGAGGCUACGCCGUAAAACAACCCCAUUUCUAAGGUUGACCUCGGAUCAGGUAGGGAUACCCGCUGAACUUAAGCAUAUCAAUAAGCGGA
rnacentral:rRNA from 1 species